UCUCUGGGUUACUGUGGGUUUUCCAGUCUGUAUGGCCAUGUUCCAGAAGCAUACAGCCUGGAAAACUUGCAGCAACCCAGUGG
ensembl:miRNA aca-mir-9572 aca-mir-9572